rnacentral:rRNA from 1 species
UACAGAGGGGGCAAGCGUUGUUCGGAAUUACUGGGCGUAAAGGGCGCGUAGGCGGCCUUCUAAGUCGGACGUGAAAUCCCCAGGCUUAACUUGGGAACUGCGUCUGGUACUGGGAGGCUUGAGUGCGGGAGAGGGAUGUGGAAUUCCAGGUGUAGCGGUGAAAUGCGUAGAUAUCUGGAGGAACACCGGUGGCGAAGGCGGCAUCCUGGACCGACACUGACGCUGAGGCGCGAAAGCCAGGGGAGCAAACGGG